rnacentral:rRNA from 1 species
GACGAACCGUGCGAACGUUAUUCGGAUUUAUUGGGCUUAAAGAGUGCGUAGGUGGCAGUAUAAGUCGGGGGUGAAAUACUAUCGGCUCAACCGUGGAAUUGCCUUCGAUACUGCAUUGCUUGAGGGGGAUAGGGGCAAGUGGAACUUCCGGUGGAGCGGUGAAAUGUGUUGAGAUCGGAAGGAACGCCAGUGGCGAAAGCGACUUGCUGGGUCUUCUCUGACACUGAGGCACGAAAGCUAGGGGAGCAAACGGG